CGGAACGGGUCGGAAUUAAAACCGAGACGAAAACGAUGCUGUUUUGUCUCGAUUUUUUUAAUGACAUAGAAUGUUCCG
rnacentral:sRNA from 1 species